AAAGGAUCGAUCGUCAUGGCAGAGCAGAGGAGGCAGAUCUCAAAUGCCUCUGUUCAGACACAAGAUGCAUUACAUAGCUUAGAUAUUACAGUGUUGUGCUCUGGAAGAAAUGCAAUGAAGCAUCCAAGGCUCAACUCACACGAUCAUUCUUUUUGAUCAUUUACAUACACUGGAUUCUUAAUAUACUGUAUAAUGUUACCUGAUUGAGCAUAAGUGAAUGUUUGUAUUUUUUGUAAUAGUCGUGUAUACGUUUCUUAAAGUUCUUUACAUCAUAAAGUCACUGUUAGAAAGGCGUACAUUAUAAGAACAUUAGGCUGAAAGCCUACACUGCUAUUUUGCACAAAUGACGGAACAAAAUACAGUUGGAUGACAUGCUUUAGUUUAAUGUUUUUUAGUAUUAUUAUGCAGUUUUCCACGUGUCUGCACAGUAAGUAAUCAACGGUAACCUUUUCAAUAUAAAAGUGAUAUCAA